UACGUAGGGCGCAAGCGUUGUCCGGAAUUAUUGGGCGUAAAGAGCUCGUAGGCGGUCUGUCACGUCUGCCGUGAAAACCCGAGGCUUAACCUCGUGGCUUGCGGUGGACACGGGCAGACUAGAGGUAGGUAGGGGAGAACGGAAUUCCCGGUGUAGCGGUGAAAUGCGCAGAUAUCGGGAGGAACACCGGUGGCGAAGGCGGUUCUCUGGGCCUUACCUGACGCUGAGGAGCGAAAGCAUGGGGAGCGAACAGG
rnacentral:rRNA from 1 species